rnacentral:rRNA from 1 species
GGAGGAAGAGCCCAGCACCGAAUCCUUCACCAUCUCGGUGACAGGAAAUGUGGUGUUUAGGCCGUACCUUGUCCCGAUACGUCUCUCCUCAAGUCCACUUGAUUGUGGCCCCAGGCCCAGAGAGGGUGUAAGGCCCGUGGAGGCGAGACGUUCGGUACCCGGUGCGUCCUUAGAGUCGGGUUGUUUGGGAAUGCAGCCCUAAGCGGGUGGUAAACUCCAUCCAAGGCUAAAUACCAGCACGAGUCCGAUAGCGAAGAAGUACCGCGAGGGAAGGUUGAAAAGAACUUUGAAGAGAGAGUUCAAGAGUACGUGAAACCGCUGAGAGGCAAACUGGUGGAACUGAAAUGGUCCCGAGGAAUUCAGCCGUUGGUGGGGACACAGUCUUUGGUGCUUGAUUUAACGACAACGCCUUUGACUGACGUGUCCAUCAUCGGUGCACUUUCCUCGUUAUGGGCCCGACCACGACCGGUGAGCCGAUCUGUCUGUCGUGCUUGGAAGAUAGCGCCGUCUUCGGAAGGCGUGUUAUAGACUUGCAUACGGAGCAGUCGGCGCACUGGAUGAUAGUGCCUGCCCAUUGGGCUCAUAUGGUGGUUGUUUUGACGGCGAGUUCUGAUGUCACUACUUCGGUAGAGUCGUUAGACUGUGUUGGCCUUAUGACUGUCCUCUAUGAUUGGCACUGGUAAGUCUGUGGUUGUGAAGUAGGUAGUCCACCUGACCCGUCUUGAAACACGGACCAAGGAGUCUAACAUGUGCGCGAGUCAUUGGGUUCACGAAACCUAAAGGCGCAGUGAAGGUAAAGAUCUGUUUUGGCAGAUUGAGGUGGGAUGCUGGGUUACGCGCCCAGCCGCACUACCGGCCCGUUCUAUAUGUAUCUCAUAGGAGCGGAGCAAGAGCGUACACGUUGGGACCCGAAAGAUGGUGAACUAUGCUUGCGCAGGUCGAA